UGGGGAAUAUUGGACAAUGGGCGCAAGCCUGAUCCAGCCAUGCCGCGUGAGUGAUGAAGGCCCUAGGGUUGUAAAGCUCUUUCACCGGUGAAGAUAAUGACGGUAACCGGAGAAGAAGCCCCGGCUAACUUCGUGCCAGCAGCCGCGGUAAUACGAAGGGGGCUAGCGUUGUUCGGAUUUACUGGGCGUAAAGCGCACGUAGGCGGACUAUUAAGUCAGGGGUGAAAUCCCGGGGCUCAACCCCGGAACUGCCUUUGAUACUGGUAGUCUUGAGUUCGAGAGAGGUGAGUGGAAUUCCGAGUGUAGAGGUGAAAUUCGUAGAUAUUCGGAGGAACACCAGUGGCGAAGGCGGCUCACUGGCUCGAUACUGACGCUGAGGUGCGAAAGAGUGGGGAGCAAACAGG
rnacentral:rRNA from 1 species